rnacentral:lncRNA from 1 species
GCAUUCUUGGUAGUUUCAAUUUUGUGGAAGAAAAUCGUUACUUGUGGUGCCAUCGUAUCUGGUUUUGUUAACCUGUGAAAAACACAAAUAAAUAAAACAAACAUUAGUCACUUUAUGAUUGGAGAUGAAAAGGUAAAUGGGUCCCACCGGGCUUGCCCAAAAUUAUGUUGAAGUAAAAUUGUGAUCUUCCUAAUAUAAUUUCACCACCGCUAAUUAAAUAAUGGGGUUUUAUUAUUUUAUGUUCGACCCAUUCGAGACGCAAGUCUCUUAAUUACAAUCCCUUGCUUCAAGGAAAAACCCUUUGAUUCCAUCAUAAAGAAACAGAACGUGUGUGUUUGAUUUUGCAGCUGCUCCCAAGUCC